CCUACGGGGUGCAGCAGUGGGGAAUAUUGGGCAAUGGGCGCAAGCCUGACCCAGCAACGCCGCGUGAAGGAAGAAGGUUUUCGGGUUGUAAACUUCUUUUCUUAGGGACGAAGAACGUGACGGUACCUGAGUCAUAAGCCACGGCUAACUACGUGCCAGCAGCCGCGGUAAUACGUAGGUGGCAAGCGUUAUCCGGAUGUACUGGGUGUAAAGGGCGCGUAGGCGGCAAGGUAAGUCAUAUGUGAAAACUCUAGGCUUAACCUUGAGCUUGCAUAUGAAACUGUGUUGCUUGAGUGCUGGAGAGGCAAUCGGAAGUCCGUGUGUAGCGGUGAAAUGCGUAGAUAUUCGGAAGAACACCAGUGGCGAAGGCGGAUUGCUGGACAGUAACUGACGCUGAGGCGCGAAAGCGUGGGGAGCGAACAGGAUUAGAUACCCUGGUAGUC
rnacentral:rRNA from 1 species